rnacentral:rRNA from 1 species
GUAGGGAAUAUUGGGCAAUGGUCGGAAGACUGACCCAGCCAUGCCGCGUGCAGGAAGACGGCCCUCUGGGUUGUAAACUGCUUUUAUCUGGGAAGAAAAAGGCCAUGCGUGGCAAAUUGCCGGUACCAGAUGAAUAAGCACCGGCUAACUCCGUGCCAGCAGCCGCGGUAAUACGGAGGGUGCGAGCGUUGUCCGGAUUUAUUGGGUUUAAAGGGUGCGUAGGCGGCUGAUUAAGUCAGCGGUGAAAGACUUCGGCUUAACCGGAGCGGUGCCGUUGAUACUGGUUGGCUUGAGUGUCGGAAGGGUACAUGUAAUUGAUGGUGUAGCGGUGAAAUGCAUAGAUACCAUCAGGAACACCGAUAGCGAAGGCAUUGUACUGGCCUACAACUGACGCUGAUGCACGAAAGUGUGGGGAUCGAACAGGAUUAGAAACCCGAGUAGUCC